CAGUUCGGUCCCUAUCUGUCGUGGGCGUUGGAGAUUUGAGGGGGGCUGCUCCUAGUACGAGAGGACCGGAGUGGACGUUCCGCUGGUGUUCGGGUUGUCAUGCCCAUGGCAUUGCCCGGUAGCUAUGAACGGAAGCGAUAACCGCUGAAAGCAUCUAAGCGGGAAGCGCGCCCCAAGAUGAGAUCUCCCGAGAGCUCGACUCUCCUUAAGGCACCAUCUAGACCAGGUGGUUGAUAGGCGCGAUGUGGAAGUGCAGCAAUGCAUUGAGCUUACGCGUACUAAUGAGCCGUGAGGCUUGACCAU
rnacentral:ncRNA from 1 species